AUAUGGCAACCAAAGGAAGGGCAGGGAAUGAGGACAGAGUGUCUCCCUCAGGCAUGUGACUUUUCUAUGGCAGGCCCCUUUACAGUCACAUUAUGCCCCAUCCUUCCUAUAACAUGGGAGAGUCUUUCUUUUUAGGAUUUAGUGGCUCAACAGGUUUGGAAGGACUUGGGAAGGGGAGGCUUCCCUGAGUUCUGUUGCUGGGAGAAGACAGGCAAUUCAGUAGGUCAAAUGGCAAAGGUAAAACCACAGUGGAAGGCUUCUCUGUGGACAGAGACUGAAGGGUGUGGAGGUAUCGAAGCUGAACGGCAGCAGGGGUGCCUGACAGAAUCUCAGCUGCCAUCCUCAGGGACUCAGAAGCAGCCUUUUCCGCUUCUGCAGCAAUCAUCUAGAAAACAUGUGACGAAAGCAAAGUGAUUGUUCUUCAUUCCCUGAAGGCUUCACCACUAUGCAGUAUGACUCAGCAGACAAGCACUGAGCAUCUACUAUGUGGCAAGCACGGUUAAGCAUAGAACAUGUUUAUUCUUCUUUCUGAAGGGUCUUGAGCUGGGGAGACAGAUUAAACUGUUAAUCACAAUUUAAGGUGGAAUGCGUUAGGAGCCAUCACAAGUAUAAAUGAAGUAUUAGGGGAGUUAUUAGCAUCUGGUGGGCCUUGAAAGAUUAGGAUUUUGCCAACAUAGAGAAAAGAUUAGCCAGCAUUCCAUGCAAAGGCAUGACGUUAUGAAAGGGUGACCCCCAACUCAGGGAAAGUGAAUGGGUAAACAUUUCUGAAGUGAAAGUGCUGAGCUCACUACACAAAUGCUACCUGAAAGUGGGUGAAGAGGACUUCACUCAGAGAUCUAGAAGCAACUGCCCUGGGGACUAUCCUCCUCCCCUUCCUCAUCCCCGCCUCCCCUCAGUGAUCCACAGGCAAUGAUCCUCUUACUGGUUCAGGUUUUUAUCUUCACCUGCUCUCUGUUCUUUCAGAGAAAUCUGCCUCCCUUCAUUCUUCACUUUCCUCUUCCCAAGGCCCCCUCACCCACACCUCAGUUACCAGAAGCUGCUAGCUGCCACAUCUUUGCCUCUUGCUGUCAUGCCUGAGUGGAGCCGAGUAGCACAGCCUUCUCUUGGCUCUAGCAUUGAGGGAACUGGGCCCUGAUCGUGGUUGUCCCUCUAAAACUUGUGCCAAGCUUGGGAUACAGUUCUAGGGGAUACCUAGAAGUUAGAAGUUAGGGUGACUACGAUUACCCAGGAAAAGAUGCCAGCACUAGAGAAGAGGGAUUGAUGUGUGUGGAGGAGAUGCCUUUAAGGAGAGAGAGGGAAGGUGAGACUCAAGCAGUGAGUGGUCACUAUUAUCAGUAGCUUCAGAGAGGGAGAGGAGUUGCAUUAGUCAGGGGACUAUUAACACACUUUAAGAGAGCAAUUUUAAUAGAGUUGUAAGGGCCCAAGACAGCUUCUGCCCAGUGCCUAAUGAAUGGACAGUAAGGAAGCAAAGGGGAAAUGUUCUCCACGAGCAGGCCUUCCUAAAGGGCAGUCUGGGUGGGAGGAUGGAGUGCUCACCCGCACUUUGGCUUGUCUUUGCGCUUCAGCCUCCACAGCCAGUGAGUGCUGAAGCCCAGCUGGCAACCUCACAUCUUUACUGAAAAAGAAAGAAUGCAGGUCACUGAAUCCAAGGCAACCUGUGGAAAGAAGAAUUCAGAUGUCAGUGGGAGCCUCCAGGUGGGAGGAGAGCAUGCCUAAACCCUGGUGGCCAUUGUUCUGUACUAAGGAACAACAUUCCCUUUGAAAGGACAUUAUUUGCCUGUUGUAUUUAACUUCACAGUGCCUUGCAAAGAGUUGUUUAACUUGCAUGGUGCCACCCAAUAAAUAUCUGUGCAAUUG
rnacentral:lncRNA from 10 species